CAGAGUUGAACAGCAGUGCUGAGUGCAGCCAGGCAGCAUAUGCCACGUGUAAUUUUUUAAUUUCCUGGUAGCAGCAAUUCUUACAGGCACAAUAGCAGGUUUGUUUAUUUUUUGUUCUUCAUCAGCCCUUUUAUUAACAUUGUUAGAUCUCCUGACUGCACCUGGCUGGGCAGUGACUGAGCAUAAUGGCAUCUUUGCCCUGGGCUCUUGGAGAUAGUGCAUAUGGAUGGGGAAGGCAGCAGAUAAUAUGGAUGCAAAUUUCAAAUUACUGGUUUUAUCCCCCAGGCACUGAAGGAGGAAAAAUCUCAAGGAAAUCGGAAGAACGACGUGGCUUUGAAUUUCUGCUCAAGUGAGGAGAACCUGCACCCCUGUGGAUGAAAGCACCUCAGAACUGGGUUUACCAGGCAGAGCCUGAGGAAGAGCCUACACACCAGAAAUCCAACCCCAUGGUCCUGCUGAUGAGCCCCUGCUAAGGAUCCCUGGCACAGGACUCCCUCAUUUGGACUAAUCAGGAUCCAUGCCCAUCUCCUGGAGGAUGCUCCACUCUCAUUUACAUCUGAGGUUUCUUCCAAGCUUCAGAACCUGUGUCAGUCUGGUGAUCAGUUUGAAGACAGAAUUAAUUAAAAUGGAUUGCUAGAAUGAAUUCCACAAUGCCCUGGGAAGUCUGAUAUUUGUAAUCAACUAUGGAACUGUUGCUAGGACACUGGAAUUGUUGAUUUUUUGGAAAAAAGAUCUAUUCAAAUAUUUGCCUGUCUAAAGCUAUGAAUCCAAGAUAUACAAAAGUUUAGCUGGUCCUGUGAACAAUUUUUUAGUGCUUUCAUUUAUAAUAUAUUAACUCCUGACUCAGAAAACAUAUGGAAAAGCCCACAAGAAUCUACUACUACAUGUGUAAGAUAUAUUCCUAAAGAGAAACAAAUUAUAGCUGAUGAAUUGUUAAUUCCAUGACCUUUUUCCUCUGCUGCCCUAUCUGAGCAGCAAGGACACACAGAAGAUAAUUAAUAUCUAUUAAGAGUGUUAGAUAUGGUUUGCACUUCUGACAGUAACACAUCAUCCCCCACAGCAUAAAAAGAUUUAUAACAUUGAAAUACAAAGGACUUGCUGAUGGAGUUUGUACCACCUUUACCAGAACAACUGCACCAAAGUUCAGUGUUUACCCUCAGCUUUACCAAGUUCUUUUUCUCAGUUUCCUACCUGCAGCCCCGGGAAAAACCCUGAGCACUUUUGCUCCCUCUCAGAGCUCAACUUCAAUUACUUUCAGAAAGUUUUCUCAUCCUUAAUUGUCAUUUAUCCAAGUUAUAAUUGUUUAAUCCUUUAAUCUCUUGUCAAUCACGAUAAUCUUCCCCUCUGUUUUUCCUUUCACGAUGUUCAGCCACCCCAGCAGUGACAGACAGACCCCAGCACGCUUGUGGUGCACACAGAGAAACAUUUUCUAGUGGGAAUCAUCUCAGAAUGUGCCUUCUCAACUGUCCUCAGCAGACUCUGCUUUGCUCUGUCCAUAGUAUUCCAGUGGAUGAGUUGUUCAUUUUACUACAUUUUAGAGAUAACAUCCAUUUUCUUCACUAUUAUUUUGCCUUCAGUUCUAAUACAUUUCCUUUUCUUUCAUUGUCUGAUAGAGACUUCGGGGUAGAGAAGCUGGAGGGGUAGAGAAAUCCACAACUGAUGAAGUACAACUAAAGCAAUCAGAAGAGAAGACCAAGUUAUCCACAUGGCUUUAUUUCUAAACUUAUUUUUAGCUGUCAGAAAGUUGGUGAAAGUUGCUUGCCCAGAAAGUGAUUCCCAAAACCAUUAUUUAAUUCUUCACCUCUGUUUCUCCAUCACUUUUUUUCCCAUUCUUAUUCCAUUAAUGAGAUACUAAGGAAGAUUUGGUGAGUAUUGUGUAAUUUAAAUUGUUCUCUAUUCCUAGGACAUGAUUUCUCUCUUCUGAGCUGCCAUGAGAUCUGUCUUAGCUUCAGCAAAUUCUAUUCAUUGGAAUACAGCUGAGUCCAUCAGCGAUGAAUGUUUUGUUCUCAUUGUUACGAAUCUCCAAUAAAUCCGUUUCACACAAAACUAGGACACUUUCAAAUACCUGAUAUUGUCACUUUUAGCCUUCAAUGUACAAAAAGAUACAAUAAGUGCAGUGACUGCUGCUGGUUAAACCCACCUUUGACAGCCCACAUCCCUUUUCUCUUGCUUUACACCAGCUCCAACUCCUCUAAACUGUGACUGGGAGGGAUGUGAUGGGUGCUGGGAAUUACGGCUGGUGACCCUGAGAAAAAUGCAAUUCAUUGUCAAUUGUCCAUUCUAAUCUGUGGGAAAAACAAAAUACUUUUCUUGAAAUGCUGUGUGAAAAAAACAAGUUUUGGCCCCAAAUAUUCAGAACAUAAUCUAACCACUCGCUUCGCUCUUCCCUCGCAGCGCCGAUGAGCCCCCAGAGUGCUCAUAAAUAUUGGCAGAGCAAAGGAGGCAGGGUUUUGCCAGCUUUUUUCCUGCUGAAUUGUAGUUAGUGUUUUUUAACAUAGCGAUACAUAACAACGCCCUUAAUGCUGUUCCUUGGAACUUGGGCCUGAAAUUCUGUUUCAACUCACUGAGGUCCUAGGACAUGGAGAUAUUGCUGCCAAAAAAUAGUUAAUGCCUGUGCUGGUAGACCCCAGGAAGGGGGGCCUCUGCAUUUCAAACAGCUGCUCUUCAAAUGGAGCAGGAAGAGAAGAAAAAAAAAGAGGUUUUGAACUUUCCAGUUUUAUUCACUUUUGUCCCAUGUACAUCAGUGAGAUUCGCAUUUAAAUGUAGAGUUCAAGGUACCAGAGUUCUAAAAUUUCUAUAAAAUCAGUUUUUGUGUCUGUACCAAGCUCUGUUCAGACUGAGAUGUACAUGGAAAAAAGCAGCUGACACACACUGCAGACAUAUCCUCCUAAGGCAUCACAGAAGGCUUUGCUUUCAAUAAUUAAUUCAUGGCCAGUUCGUUAUUAUAUUGAAAUCUAAAAUGUCAUUUCAGCUCGACUGAUUUUUACCUCUUUGUCUGGACACUUUCCAGAUUAACACUCAGGUUAUUUAAAGAGAAGCCCUGUGAGUGAAAAAAUGAGAUGGAAGUGGAGAUAUAGAUCUUGUUUUAUCCCCAUGGUUAUAUCAGUCACAACUUCUGAUCUUCUCAGCCCCUGAUCUCUUUCCCAGCCAUCAGUUUUACUUGUCAAGUCUGUUCCUGAUAUUUGUAGCAGGGCACAAUUUGCUUCCUUCCAUUUUCUUCUAGGACCCCACAUAUUUUGGGAUACAUGGAGAGAACAGAGGCAGUGGCUGCUCUGCACCACAGAUGACAGCUGGAUCCUGAGCACACUGAGUGGAAGUUUGUGAGAUGCUGACUGCUAUGGAAACAACACAAAUCCCAGAGCUGGAUCCUCAGCACAUCAAAUCUCAACUUGUAUGUUUAAAGCAUUGGACUUCUCAGGCUUGCUGUGUUGUUCAGGACCACAGCCCAAACAUGGAAUAUUAUGCUGUUUUUCACCCUUUUGGUUUGGUUGAAGUUCUUUCUCCUAACAAAACCUUUUCAUCCCAAAUUGAAACUACAGCUAGUGCAGCCUUCUGAACCUCUAAUGAGAUGUGGUUGUGGAAAUCCUCAAGACCAGUGAGUUUGAAUCCUAAAACUUAUUUGUGUUUAUGUAGAGGAAAUAUGAGAAAGCAUAUUUUGACUAAUGGUAUCACCCUAGAGAGAAACACACUUGUUAUAAAUAUGUUCCAUUGCAGUUGCUGGAAAUCUAACAAAAUUGCCA